rnacentral:rRNA from 1 species
UACGUAGGGACCAAGCGUUGUCCGGAAUCAUUGGGCGUAAAGGGCGCGUAGGUGGUUUGAUAAGGGUGUGGUGAAAGUCCGGGGCUCAACCCCGGAUCUGCCGUGCCGACUGUCAAACUCGAGGACUGUAGAGGCAGACGGAAUUCCGGGUGUAGCGGUGGAAUGCGUAGAGAUCCGGAGGAAGACCGGUGGCGAAGGCGGUCUGCUGGGCAGUUUCUGACACUGAGGCGCGACAGCGUGGGGAGCAAACAGG